rnacentral:rRNA from 1 species
UGAACGCUAGCUACAGGCUUAACACAUGCAAGUCGAGGGGCAGCAUGGUCUUAGCUUGCUAAGGCCGAUGGCGACCGGCGCACGGGUGAGUAACACGUAUCCAACCUGCCGUCUACUCUUGGACAGCCUUCUGAAAGGAAGAUUAAUACAAGAUGGCAUCAUGAGUCCGCAUGUUCACAUGAUUAAAGGUAUUCCGGUAGACGAUGGGGAUGCGUUCCAUUAGAUAGUAGGCGGGGUAACGGCCCACCUAGUCUUCGAUGGAUAGGGGUUCUGAGAGGAAGGUCCCCCACAUUGGAACUGAGACACGGUCCAAACUCCUACGGGAGGCAGCAGUGAGGAAUAUUGGUCAAUGGGCGAGAGCCUGAACCAGCCAAGUAGCGUGAAGGACGACUGCCCUAUGGGUUGUAAACUUCUUUUAUAAAGGAAUAAAGUCGGGUAUGGAUACCCGUUUGCAUGUACUUUAUGAAUAAGGAUCGGCUAACUCCGUG